rnacentral:rRNA from 1 species
AACGAACGCUGGCGGCAGGCUUAACACAUGCAAGUCGAGCGCAUCCUUCGGGGUGAGCGGCAGACGGGUGAGUAACGCGUGGGAACGUACCCUUUCCUACGGAAUAGCUCCGGGAAACUGGAAUUAAUACCGUAUACGCCCUUAGGGGGACAGAUUGAUCGGGGAAGGAUCGGCCCGCGUUGGAUUAGCUAGUUGGUGGGGGAAAGGCCUACCAAGGCGACGAUCCAUAGCUGGUCUGAGAGGAUGAUCAGCCACAUUGGGACUGAGACACGGCCCAAACUCCUACGGGAGGCAGCAGUGGGGAAUAUUGGACAAUGGGCGCAAGCCUGAUCCAGCCAUGCCGCGUGAGUGAUGAAGGCCUUAGGGUUGUAAAGCUCUUUCAGUAGGGAAGAUAAUGACGGUACCUACAGAAGAAGCCCCGGCUAACUUCGUGCCAGCCGCCGCAGUAA